GAAACUGCGAAUGGCUCAUUAAAUCAGUUAUCGUUUAUUUGAUAGUACCUUACUACUUGGAUAACCGUGGUAAUUCUAGAGCUAAUACAUGCUUAAAACCCCGACUCACGGAGGGGUGUAUUUAUUAGAUUAAAAACCAAUGCCCUUCGGGGCUUUUUGGUGAUUCAUAAUAACUUCUCGAAUCGCAUGGCCUUGUGCCGGCGAUGGUUCAUUCAAAUUUCUGCCCUAUCAACUUUCGAUGGCAGGGUCUUGGCCUGCCAUGGUUACAACGGGUAACGGAGGGUUAGGGCUCGACCCCGGAGAAGGAGCCUGAGAAACGGCUACUACAUCCAAGGAAGGCAGCAGGCGCGCAAAUUACCCAAUCCCGAUACGGGGAGGUAGUGACAAUAAAUACUGAUACAGGGCUCUUUUGGGUCUUGUAAUUGGAAUGAGUACAAUUUAAAUCCCUUAACGAGGAACAAUUGGAGGGCAAGUCUGGUGCCAGCAGCCGCGGUAAUUCCAGCUCCAAUAGCGUAUAUUAAAGUUGUUGCAGUUAAAAAGCUCGUAGUUGAACCUUGGGCCUGGCUGGCCGGUCCGCCUCAC
rnacentral:rRNA from 1 species